rnacentral:rRNA from 1 species
GCCGGUAGCUUGCUCUCUGCAAUUCUCACAUGGCCGCCUACUGAAGCUAAGCAGGGCUGCGCCUGGUCAGUACCUGGAUGUGGUCAGGACCACAUGGCAAAGCUAGGUUGCUGCCAGAA